GACGAACGCUGGCGGCGUGCUUAACACAUGCAAGUCGAACGUAAAGGCCCUGCUUGCAGGGUACUCGAGUGGCGAACGGGUGAGUAACACGUGGGUGAUCUGCCCUGCACUUCGGGAUAAGCUUGGGAAACUGGGUCUAAUACCGGAUAGGAACCAUCUUUAGUGUGGUGGUUGGAAAGUUUUUUCGGUGUAGGAUGAGCUCGCGGCCUAUCAGCUUGUUGGUGGGGUAAUGGCCUACCAAGGCGGCGACGGGUAGCCGGCUUGAGAGAGUGUACGGCCACAUUGGGACUGAGACACGGCCCAGACUCCUACGGGAGGCAGCAGUGGGGAAUUUUGCACAAUGGGGGAAACCCUGAUGCAGCGACGCCGCGUGAUUUAGAAGGCCUUCGGGUUGUAAAAAUCUUUUGUAUAGGAAGAAAAUGACAGUACUAUACGAAUAAGGUCCGGCUAAUUACGUGCCAGCAGCCGCGGUAAUACGUAAGGACCGAGCGUUGUCCGGAAUCAUUGGGCGUAAAGGGUACGUAGGCGGCUAGAAAAGUUAGAAGUCAAAGGCUAUAGCUCAACUAUAGUAAGCUUCUAAAACUAUUUAGCUUGAGAAAUGGAAGGGAAAGUGGAAUUCCUAGUGUAGCGGUGGAAUGCGCAGAUAUUAGGAAGAGUACCGGUGGCGAAGGCGACUUUCUGGCCAUUAUCUGACGCUGAGGUACGAAAGCGUGGGUAGCAAACAGGAUUAGAUACCCUGGUAGUCCACGCCGUAAACGAUGAGUGUUAGGUGUCUGGAGUCAAAUCUGGGUGCCGCAGCAAACGCAUUAAACACUCCGCCUGGGGAGUACGCACGCAAGUGUGAAACUCAAAGGAAUUGACGGGGACCCGCACAAGCAGCGGAGCAUGUGGUUUAAUUCGACGCAACGCGAAGAACCUUACCAAGUCUUGACAUAUUACAGAAGCAGUUAGAGAUAAUUGCUUACAUCUUCGGAUGACUGUAAUACAGGUGGUGCAUGGUUGUCGUCAGCUCGUGUCGUGAGAUAUUGGGUUAAGUCCCAUAACGAGCGCAACCCCUAUUGCUAGUUACCAUCAUUAAGUUGGGGACUCUAGUAAUACUGCCGGUGACAAACCGGAGGAAGGUGGGGAUGACGUCAAAUCAUCAUGCCCUUUAUGACUUGGGCUACACACGUGCUACAAUGGCAGGUACACAGGGUUGCAAGACUGCGAAGUUAAGCGAAACUCAAAAAGCCUGUCCCAGUUCGGAUUGCACUCUGCAACUCGAGUGCAUGAAGUUGGAGUUGCUAGUAAUCGUGGAUCAGAAUGCCGCGGUGAAUGUGUUCCCGGGUCU
rnacentral:rRNA from 1 species